CACGUAGUUAGCCGGGGCUUCUUGGUCAGGUACCGUCCGGCUGCCCCUUCCGGGGCAGUUUGUCUUCCCUGCUGAUAGAGCUUUACGCGCCGAAACGCUCCUUCACUCACGCGGCGUCGCUGCAUCAGGGUUUCCCCCAUUGUGCAAUAUCCCCCACUGCUGCCUCCCGUAGGAGUCUGGGCCGUGUCUCAGUCCCAAUGUGGCCGUUCACCCUCUCAGGCCGGCUACUGAUCGUCGCUUUGGUGGGCCGUUACCCCGCCAACUGGCUAAUCAGACGCGGAUCCAUCGUAUACCACCGGAGUUUUUCACACCGCCCCAUGCGGAGCUGUGCGCUCAUGCGGUAUUAGCACCUAUUUCUAAGUGUUACUCCCCCGGUAUACGGCAGGUUAUCCACGCGUUACUCACCCGUCCGCCACUAACUCAUAAAUCACUAGGUUUCAGUACGAGUCCGUUCGACUUGCAUGUGUUAGGCACGCCGCCAGCCGUUCAUCCUGAGCCAGGAUCAAACUCUUACG
rnacentral:rRNA from 1 species